UAGGGAAUCUUCGGCAAUGGGGGCAACCCUGACCGAGCAACGCCGCGUGAGUGAAGAAGGUUUUCGGAUCGUAAAGCUCUGUUGUAAGAGAAGAACGUGUGUGAGAGUGGAAAGUUCACACAGUGACGGUAACUUACCAGAAAGGGACGGCUAACUACGUGCCAGCAGCCGCGGUAAUACGUAGGUCCCGAGCGUUGUCCGGAUUUAUUGGGCGUAAAGCGAGCGCAGGCGGUUUAAUAAGUCUGAAGUUAAAGGCAGUGGCUUAACCAUUGUUCGCUUUGGAAACUGUUAAACUUGAGUGCAGAAGGGGAGAGUGGAAUUCCAUGUGUAGCGGUGAAAUGCGUAGAUAUAUGGAGUGACACCGGUGGCGAAAGCGGCUCUCUGGUCUGUAACUGACGCUGAGGCUCGAAAGCGUGGGGAGCAAACAGG
rnacentral:rRNA from 1 species